rnacentral:lncRNA from 1 species
CUCAAACGUUCAUGUGUUUUAAAGGUGUGUAUGUGUACAAAGGCUUUGAGAAGAUUGAAGAAAUGGAACGCCUUCAAAUUUGGCGGACAUCACAGAAAUCGAUUAAAUUCGAUUGAUUUCUGCGACAUUUUUGGUUAUCGUUGAGUCCAAAUUCAGCCAUAAAAGAAAGUACAACUGGGUCUUUGGGAUGUUGGAGGUCAACAGAGGUAAUAGAUGACCCGAUUUGAAAAUGGUACCUUCAAGCUCACGCAGAGUACUGAUCCCGAUCAUUAGAAAACAACAUCAAAAGAGGAUCAACCAUCUACAGUGACUCGUGGAGAGCAUAUGUGCAGGCGCUGAAUCCACUAGGUUAUCAGCAUCACACUGUGAACCACAGGCAGAACUUUGUUGAUCCACAUUCGAGCAGCCACACACAGCACAUUGAACGCUCUUUGCAGAUGAUCAAAAAACAGGUCUGGAGACUAAAAGGGAAUCAAUCAGAGAAAAUGUUGAAGAACCAUUUGAAAUGUAUUGAAUGGACUUACUGGUUGGGCAAAAAACACAGGGGAGGCAUCUUCGGACAACUGAUCAACAACAUUAAGAAGAGAUAUAAAGUGUGACUGAAUUUUUUGGAGGGAGAAAAGCACAUAUUGGGCCCAUCUUCAAAUACCGUUGGAGGUGUGGAGAAGUAGAUCUGGAGAUAAUUUCACUUUUGUUCUGUUAUUGAUCUGUCAUUGUAUUUUGUGAUCACAGUAUUUUCAUUUGCCAUAGAAAAUAAAAAAAGCUUAAAAAAAUUAGAUUUAAAAAAAAAUAUUGUUAACUUUACAAAUUACAACAUUAAGAAAGAGAAACUUCUGGAGUAUCGCAAAAUAUGGUUUGGGUCCCUCAGUCCAGAGCUAUUAAAUUAAAAUAAAAGAAGAAGGCAAGGGGAAAGCUUUGGUCUAUAACACCAAAGAUUUGGUAGAUUAACCAUGUUCUGUUAAUUAGGCCAACAUGGUGUUUUGAAAUUUUCCAGUUUGAAUGUUUUUUGCAUCUCCUACAUCAUGAAGCCUAAUAUAUUGAAAAACUCUCUGAAAAAUCUGUUUUAAUUCUUAAAGAAGUGUUUUUCUUUUUCAGUUUAUACUUUUAUGGCAGUUUGCUGUGAGACUUGUGCCUUAGUAGAUCAUUGAAAAAUAUUUGCUUCCGUCGUUUUAUUUUUUUGUGAAAUGCUACCUCAGAUAACCAUUCUUAAAGAAGAAUGUCUGCACCACAUGUUUCGUUGUUCUUUUUCAGUUGAUACAUUUAUGGCAGUUUGCAGACACUUGUGCCUUCGUAGAUUAGUAAAAAAAAUAUUUUUACAAAAAUGUUAAAUUGUGAAAUGAUACCUCGGAUAACAAUGUUUAAGUAAACUAUUCAAAUGUUUUUACAUUACAAAUGUCCUCUCAGGAAAACUAUGGCAAUGUUAUCAUGUAAUAAAGCUG